ACGAACGCUGGCGGCGUGCUUAACACAUGCCAGUCGCACGGAAAGGCCCUGCUUUUGUGGGGUGCUCGGGUGGCGAACGGGUGAGUAACACGUGAGUAACCUGCCCUUGACUUUGGGAUAACUUCAGGAAACUGGGGCUAAUACCGGAUAGGAGCUCCUGCUGCAUGGUGGGGGUUGGAAAGUUUCGGCGGUUGGGGAUGGACUCGCGGCUUAUCAGCUUGUUGGUGGGGUAGUGGCUUACCAAGGCUUUGACGGGUAGCCGGCCUGAGAGGGUGACCGGCCACAUUGGGACUGAGAUACGGCCCAGACUCCUACGGGAGGCAGCAGUGGGGAAUAUUGCACAAUGGGCGGAAGCCUGAUGCAGCAACGCCGCGUGCGGGAUGACGGCCUUCGGGUUGUAAACCGCUUUCGCCUGUGACGAAGCGUGAGUGACGGUAAUGGGUAAAGAAGCACCGGCUAACUACGUG
rnacentral:rRNA from 1 species